CCUCGCCCAACCCCACAGGCACCGCCCCCGCAACGCUCCACUCCUCCCCUCCUAUCGGCGCCGCCCCUGCUCCGCUACAGCUGCGCGCCGCCUCCCGCCCCUGCCUCCACCGUACACCGCCACCCGCCCCUCCUCCAUCGAGCGCCGCCAGGAGGAUGACCAACUCCACCGUGCGCUGCGGCCCCCUGCCCCGACCUCUCCAUGGCGGGCCGCCGGGAGGACUCCCACAUCCACCGGGCGCUGCAGGUUCCCGGCUCCAUAGCGGGCCGCCAGGAGGACGCCCACCUCCGCCGCGAUCUGCAGGCCCCGGCCACCGUGCUGCUUCCCGCCGUCCUCAUGCGCAAGGGUACUUGAUCGAGCAUAUGCUAUAUCUAAGACAUGGAAUGGUGCUCCGGUAAUACUUCGGGGAUUUCAACGCUACACUCAAGUUUGCCAGCGUCUCCCUCCACUAAGCACCUUGCUCGGUUAGGAAGUCCACUGUGAGAAUCCUGGGAGUUCACCUCCCGCGGUUUGGUUCUGUUGCAAAUCAGUUAUUUGGAAAAGUUCACAGUGGAAAAGUUAACUUCAGUGUUUCCUUGGAAGUUCACUGGUUGUGCCCGGAGGGUUCAGUCUUCUUCUAUAUACACACGGUUUGUAUUUGUCUACUCAACCAGGCAGCAAUAUAGUUGUAUUUGUGAAACAACUUCUAUUACUCUACUAUACAGCUUUUAUUGUUGGCUGAUGGCUAUUCUAAUUCAAGCCAGUUCUUGCGAGUACUGGAUGGGUAGUAACUUUCGUCAUCCUAACUUUUUUACACUACCAUGGACUUCACAACUCUAAAAGAACGAACAUUGUGUCAUAUGGUGACUACUGCUGGCUAUCUAAGUUCAGGAUCAGGACCAAGAGAUAAACACUGGAGGAGUUCAUAUGCCCCGCUGAGGUAGUUCAUAUCGCUCUCCGCAGCGAGCAUGUGCAACUCCAUUUUCAGGUAUGUUAACUAUGCCUCUUCGGCUGAUUUCAGAGAGUUUGCAGUACCAUCUGUUCCUAUUCUAUUUUCAUGUCCAGUAUUGAUGCCUCUUUGUAAACAAAUAAUAUAGUCAUGCAUGUGGUAUUUUGAGAACUGAUGAAUGGCCAUUUUUGUUAUCGUGCCACACCUCUUAUCUGCCAUUUUUACUAUUUUCCAGUGUUGCCUGCAGGAUGACGUGCAAUUUCAGGGAAUGUAUGAUUUGUGGCAGGCUGUGAAUGGAGUUACCAGUACACGUGGUAAUAACAUGAGCGUUUUGGUGCCUCGUUGCUUACUAUAAAAGACACUUCCGGCGGUUAAGUAUAUUUUCUGAGAAAUUCAUUGAACUUCUGGCAGUUUGCUUAGUACCGGCUGUUUUUUUUCUUCCUUUUGCCAGCAAAGAAUUAUUGUUACCAUAUUUUAAGACAUGUAAUUCCAUGAAAUUCACUCCUGGGUUCCGAGUAGUUCAUUUCAUGCAAUUUGAAAGCGCAGGUAUAUCGCGUUUGAUGGUAGAUUUAUAUUUUUUUGGUCGAUGUUGAAAAAACAUUGAAUAAGGGGAGUGCAAUCUUUGUGGGUCCCUCUGACAUGUCUGGACGUUCACUACAUCAUCCUUGGAGAUCGCUGAUAAGUUCACCAUGCCCAUGGACUUCCUGUGAAGCCAUCCCUGGCAUCCAUCCUGUAGCUGCUAUGGACUGCAGAAGUUCACCCCGCAUGGAACGAGAGUCAACCGACAGCAUAAACUUGAUGGAAUCGCUGCCAGCACCUUCAGGGAUGAAGCAUGCGGCAGUCAGUCGCGCCCUCCAAAGAGAUGCGAGGAUGAGACUACUUUUAUAGGAGCUCAGUUGAUUUUUUGAAGUUUAGAUCUUACAGAAGCUGCAGUUAUAUUUCUUAUGCAAAGAAAGUCGCUUCAUAUGACUCGUAGCUGAUCCAUUUUGGUCUGACUGUCCGAGCUGCUAUUUAUUAUUUCAACAAAUUAUUGAUUGAAUACCAUUUGUUGGUUAUUUCUUUCAGAAGUUCUUA